GGUUAAGCGACUAAGCGUACACGGUGGAUGCCCUGGCAGUCAGAGGCGAUGAAGGACGUGCUAAUCUGCGAAAAGCGUCGGUAAGGUGAUAUGAACCGUUACAGCCGGCGAUGUCCGAAUGGGGAAACCCAGUGCAAUUCGUUGCACUAUCGUUAACUGAAUACAUAGGUUAACGAGGCGAACCGGGGGAACUGAAACAUCUAAGUACCCCGAGGAAAAGAAAUCAACCGAGAUUCCCCCAGUAGCGGCGAGCGAACGGGGAGCAGCCCGGAGUCUGAAUCAGCUUGUGUGUUAGUGGAAGCGUCUGGAAAGUCGCAGGGUACAGGGUGAUACUCCCGUACACUAAAACGCACAGGUUGUGAACUCGAAGAGUAGGGCGGGACACGUGGUAUCCUGUCUGAAUAUGGGGGGACCAUCCUCCAAGGCUAAAUACUCCUGACUGACCGAUAGUGAACCAGUACCGUGAGGGAAAGGCGAAAAGAACCCCGGCGAGGGGAGUGAAAAAGAACCUGAAACCGUGUACGUACAAGCAGUAGGAGCCCACUUGUUGGGUGACUGCGUACCUUUUGUAUAAUGGGUCAGCGACUUAUAUUCUGUAGCAAGGUUAACCGUAUAGGGGAGCCGCAGGGAAACCGAGUCUUAACUGGGCGUUAAGUUGCAGGGUAUAGACCCGAAACCCGGUGAUCUAGCCAUGGGCAGGUUGAAGGUUGGGUAACACUAACUGGAGGACCGAACCGACUAAUGUUGAAAAAUUAGCGGAUGACUUGUGGCUGGGGGUGAAAGGCCAAUCAAACCGGGAGAUAGCUGGUUCUCCCCGAAAGCUAUUUAGGUAGCGCCUCGUGAACUCAUCUUCGGGGGUAGAGCACUGUUUCGGCUAGGGGGUCAUCCCGACUUACCAACCCGAUGCAAACUACGAAUACCGAAGAAUGUUAUCACGGGAGACACACGGCGGGUGCUAACGUCCGUCGUGAAGAGGGAAACAACCCAGACCGCCAGCUAAGGUCCCAAAGUCAUGGUUAAGUGGGAAACGAUGUGGGAAGGCCCAGACAGCCAGGAUGUUGGCUUAGAAGCAGCCAUCAUUUAAAGAAAGCGUAAUAGCUCACUGGUCGAGUCGGCCUGCGCGGAAGAUGUAACGGGGCUAAACCAUGCACCGAAGCUGCGGCAGCGACACUAUGUGUUGUUGGGUAGGGGAGCGUUCUGUAAGCCGUUGAAGGUGGCCUGUGAGGGUUGCUGGAGGUAUCAGAAGUGCGAAUGCUGACAUAAGUAACGAUAAUGCGGGUGAAAAACCCGCACGCCGGAAGACCAAGGGUUCCUGUCCAACGUUAAUCGGGGCAGGGUGAGUCGACCCCUAAGGCGAGGCCGAAAGGCGUAGUCGAUGGGAAACAGGUUAAUAUUCCUGUACUCGGUGUUACUGCGAAGGGGGGACGGAGAAGGCUAUGUUGGCCGGGCGACGGUUGUCCCGGUUUAAGCAUGUAGGCGGAUGUUCCAGGUAAAUCCGGAACGUCACUAACGCUGAGGUGUGAUGACGAGGCACUACGGUGCUGAAGUGACAAAUGCCCUGCUUCCAGGAAAAGCCUCUAAGCAUCAGGUAACAUCAAAUCGUACCCCAAACCGACACAGGUGGUCAGGUAGAGAAUACCAAGGCGCUUGAGAGAACUCGGGUGAAGGAACUAGGCAAAAUGGUGCCGUAACUUCGGGAGAAGGCACGCUGAUGGUAGGUGAAGUGACUUGCUCAUGGAGCUGAAAUCAGUCGAAGAUACCAGCUGGCUGCAACUGUUUAUUAAAAACACAGCACUGUGCAAACACGAAAGUGGACGUAUACGGUGUGACGCCUGCCCGGUGCCGGAAGGUUAAUUGAUGGGGUUAUCCUCGCGGAGAAGCUCUUGAUCGAAGCCCCGGUAAACGGCGGCCGUAACUAUAACGGUCCUAAGGUAGCGAAAUUCCUUGUCGGGUAAGUUCCGACCUGCACGAAUGGCGUAAUGAUGGCCAGGCUGUCUCCACCCGAGACUCAGUGAAAUUGAACUCGCUGUGAAGAUGCAGUGUACCCGCGGCAAGACGGAAAGACCCCGUGAACCUUUACUAUAGCUUGACACUGAACACUGGUCCUUGAUGUGUAGGAUAGGUGGGAGGCUUUGAAGUGUGGACGCCAGUCUGCAUGGAGCCAUCCUUGAAAUACCACCCUUUAAUGGCUGGUGUUCUAACGUGGGCCCCUAAUCGGGGUUGCGGACAGUGUCUGGUGGGUAGUUUGACUGGGGCGGUCUCCUCCUAAAGAGUAACGGAGGAGCACGAAGGUCAGCUAAUCCUGGUCGGACAUCAGGAGGUUAGUGCAAUGGCAUAAGCUGGCUUGACUGCGAGCGUGACGGCGCGAGCAGGUGCGAAAGCAGGUCAUAGUGAUCCGGUGGUUCUGAAUGGAAGGGCCAUCGCUCAACGGAUAAAAGGUACUCCGGGGAUAACAGGCUGAUACCGCCCAAGAGUUCAUAUCGACGGCGGUGUUUGGCACCUCGAUGUCGGCUCAUCACAUCCUGGGGCUGAAGUAGGUCCCAAGGGUAUGGCUGUUCGCCAUUUAAAGUGGUACGCGAGCUGGGUUUAGAACGUCGUGAGACAGUUCGGUCCCUAUCUGCCGUGGGCGCUGGAGAAUUGAGGGGGGCUGCUCCUAGUACGAGAGGACCGGAGUGGACGCAUCACUGGUGUUCGGGUUGUCAUGCCAAUGGCAUUGCCCGGUAGCUAAAUGCGGAAGAGAUAAGUGCUGAAAGCAUCUAAGCACGAAACUUGCCCCGAGAUGAGUUCUCCCUGACUCCUUGAGAGUCCUGAAGGAACGUUGAAGACGACGACGUUGAUAGGCCGGGUGUGUAAGCGCAGCGAUGCGUUGAGCUAACCGGUACUAAUGAACCGUGAGGCUUAACCUU
rnacentral:rRNA from 1 species